rnacentral:rRNA from 1 species
ACGAACGCUGGCGGCGUGCUUAACACAUGCAAGUCGAACGGUGAAGCGCCUUCCUUUUUGGUGGGUGUGGAUGAGUGGCGAACGGGUGAGUAACACGUGGGUAACCUGCCCCCUUCUUCUGGAUAACCGCAUGAAAGUGUGGCUAAUACGGGAUAUUCUGGGUCUGUCGCAUGAUGGGUCUGGGAAAGAUAUUGUUUCGGUGGGGGAUGGGCUCGCGGCCUAUCAGCUUGUUGGUGGGGUGAUGGCCUACCAAGGCGGUGACGGGUAGCCGGCCUGAGAGGGUGGACGGUCACACUGGGACUGAGACACGGCCCAGACUCCUACGGGAGGCAGCAGUGGGGAAUAUUGCACAAUGGGCGCAAGCCUGAUGCAGCGACGCCGCGUGAGGGAUGGAGGCCUUCGGGUUGUGAACCUCUUUCGCCAGUGAAGCAGGCCUGCCUCGUUUGUGGGUGGGUUGACGGUAGCUGGAUAAGAAGCGCCGGCUAACUACGUG